rnacentral:rRNA from 1 species
GACGUAGGGCGCGAGCGUUGUCCGGAUUUAUUGGGCGUAAAGAGCUCGUAGGCGGCUUGUCGCGUCGAAUGUGAAAUCUCAGGGCUCAACUCUGACAUUGCAUUCGAUACGGGCAGGCUCGAGUUCGGUAGGGGAGACUGGAAUUCCUGGUGUAGCGGUGGAAUGCGCAGAUAUCAGGAGGAACACCGGUGGCGAAGGCGGGUCUCUGGGCCGGUACCGACGCUGAGGAGCGAAAGCGUGGGGAGCGAACAGG